AACGAACGCUGGCGGCAGGCUUAACACAUGCAAGUCGAACGCCCCGCAAGGGGAGUGGCAGACGGGUGAGUAACGCGUGGGAACGUGCCCUUCGCUUCGGAAUAGCCCCGGGAAACUGGGAGUAAUACCGAAUACGCCGUAUUGGGAAAGAUUUAUCGGCGAAGGAUCGGCCCGCGUUAGAUUAGCUAGUUGGCGGUGUAGUGGACCACCAAGGCUACGAUCUAUAGCUGGUCUGAGAGGAUGAUCAGCCACACUGGGACUGAGACACGGCCCAGACUCCUACGGGAGGCAGCAGUGGGGAAUCUUGGACAAUGGGCGCAAGCCUGAUCCAGCCAUGCCGCGUGAGUGAAGAAGGCCUUAGGGUUGUAAAACUCUUUCGCCGGAGAAGAUAAUGACGGUAUCCGGAGAAGAAGCCCCGGCUAACUUCGUGCCAGCCGCCGCAGUGACAC
rnacentral:rRNA from 1 species